rnacentral:rRNA from 1 species
UAUUUUAGAGAUGUUAAUUGAUUUAUUUGCCUGAGUAGUAUUAGCUAUGUUCUUGAAACUUAAAGAAUUUGGCGGUAUCUCAUUCCGUCCAGAGGAAUCUGUCUCGUUAUCGAUAGUCCACGUUGGACCUUACUUAGUUGCUUUGGUUUGUAUACCGCCGUUUAUUGAUUAUCUUUUUAGGGUUUAAUUUAAUUUUCUGGUUUCUUUAUUUUGAUUUAUUUCAGGUCAAGGUGCAGCUUGUUUCUAAGUGAAUGAUGGAUUACAUUGUUAUUUGUUUUAUGGAUUACUAAUUUUGACAUUGGUAUGAAAUUGGAUUUGGUUGUAAUGAUUUGUAGAUUGUUAUUAUGAUAAGUGGUUCUGGGAUAUGCACACAUCGCCCGUCGCUCUCGUUUUGUUGAUUAAUGAGAUAAG